UGGGGAAUAUUGGACAAUGGGCGAAAGCCUGAUCCAGCAAUGCCGCGUGGGUGAAGAAGGUCUUCGGAUUGUAAAGCCCUUUCGGCGGGGACGAUGAUGACGGUACCCGCAGAAGAAGCCCCGGCUAACUUCGUGCCAGCAGCCGCGGUAAUACGAAGGGGGCUAGCGUUGCUCGGAAUUACUGGGCGUAAAGGGCGCGUAGGCGGCCUUGUCAGUCGGGCGUGAAAUCCCCGGGCUCAACCUGGGAAUUGCGCUCGAUACGGCUGGGCUUGAGGCCGAGAGAGGGUGGUGGAAUUCCCAGUGUAGAGGUGAAAUUCGUAGAUAUUGGGAAGAACACCGGUGGCGAAGGCGGCCACCUGGCUCGGUUCUGACGCUGAGGCGCGAAAGCGUGGGGAGCAAACAGGA
rnacentral:rRNA from 1 species